rnacentral:rRNA from 1 species
UACGUAGGGAGCAAGCGUUGUUCGGAUUUACUGGGCGUAAAGGAUGCGUAGGCGGAUGUUUAAGUGAGAUGUGAAAUACCCGAGCUCAACUUGGGUGCUGCAUUUCAAACUGGAUAUCUAGAGUGCAGGAGAGGAAAGCGGAAUUCCUAGUGUAGCGGUGAAAUGCGUAGAUAUCUGGAGGAACACCGUUGGCGAAGGCGAGCUUCUGGGCUGUCUCUGACGCUGAUGCGCGAAAGCUGGGGGAGCAAACAGG